CCGGCAGCAAAGUUGCCUGCGUUGUUUCUAGACGUGACGAAUUUAACGUAGGGCAAGUCACCGGUGCAUUUUAAACAUGGCAACCUGCACAGUGUUUGAAAAAGCAGGAUGCCAUCUCCUGAUGGAUGGUGGUCCAACAUACGAGAAGUGUCUCUCAGACUGCACCCAGACAUCUCCCUGUUAAGGAUCUAUGCUGCCGCAAAAAAAAAGUGGAUCCCUUUGUCAGCACAGUUUAUUUACCAUACUUUACCAUAAUUUACCAGAAGUCAACAAAGUUUCCGUUUUUACAGAGAAUCCUGAUCAAGCCCAGGAGAACGGAGCAGCGUGUGUGGGAGGAGCCGACAUUGUGCAGAGAAUCUUGGAUUAUGAAGUGGACUUCUACGUAGUGGCACUAGAUAUCAUCUACAAACUACUUCCUCUGAAGAACGAACUACGCAGAUAAGUUCCCCAAGAACAAGAGAGGGUCGGUUGGAGUCGACAUUCCCAAGAUGCUGGAGUUGUUCCAGACCUGCCAUGAGUAUAUAGUGGAGAAGGAACGCUGUCAUCACUAGGGUAGGAACGGUAAGUAUGAAGGAAUACUGUCAUCACUAGGGUAGGAACGGUAAGUAUGAAGGAAUACUGUCAUCACUAGAGUAGGAACGGUAAGUAUGAAGGAAUACUGUCAUCACUAGCGUAGGAUCGGUAAGUAUGAAGGAAUACUGUCAUCACUAGGGUAGGAACGGUAAGUAUGAAGGAAUACUGUCAUCACUAGCGUAGGAACGGUAAGUAUGAAGGAAUACUAUCAUCACUAGGGUAGGAACGGUAAGUAUGAAGGAAUACUGUCAUCACUAGCGUAGGAACGGUAAGUAUGAAGGAAUACUGUCAUCACUAGCGUAGGAACGGUAAGUAUGAAGGAAUACUGUCAUCACUAGCGUAGGAACGGUAAGUAUGAAGGAAUACUGUCAUCACUAGAGUAGGAACGGUAAGUAUGAAGGAAUACUGUCAUCACUAGCGUAGGAACGGUAAGUAUGAAGGAAUACUGUCAUCACUAGAGUAGGAACGGUAAGUAUGAAGGAAUACUGUCAUCACUAGCGUAGGAACGGUAAGUAUGAAGGAAUACUGUCAUCACUAGCGUAGGAACGGUAAGUAUGAAGGAAUACUAUCAUCACUAGAGUAGGAACGGUAAGUAUGAAGGAAUACUGUCAUCACUAGCGUAGGAACGGUAAGUAUGAAGGAAUACUGUCAUCACUAGCGUAGGAACGGUAAGUAUGAAGGAAUACUAUCAUCACUAGGGUAGGAACGGUAAGUAUGAAGGAAUACUGUCAUCACUAGAGUAGGAACGGUAAGAAUGAAGGAAUACUGUCAUCACUAGGGUAGGAACGGUAAGUAUGAAGGAAUACUGUCAUCACUAGCGUAGGAUCGGUAAGUAUGAAGGAAUACUGUCAUCACUAGGGUAGGAACGGUAAGUAUGAAGGAAUACUGUCAUCACUAGCGUAGGAACGGUAAGUAUGAAGGAAUACUGUCAUCACUAGCGUAGGAACGGUAAGUAUGAAGGAAUACUGUCAUCACUAGAGUAGGAACGGUAAGAAUGAAGGAAUACUGUCAUCACUAGGGUAGGAACGGUAAGUAUGAAGGAAUACUGUCAUCACUAGCGUAGGAACGGUAAGUAUGAAGGAAUACUGUCAUCACUAGCGUAGGAACGGUAAGUAUGAAGGAAUACUGUCAUCACUAGAGUAGGAACGAUAAGUAUGAAGGAACGCUGUCAUCACUAGCGUAGGAACGGUAAGUAUGAAGGAACGCUGUCAUCACUAGAGUAGGAACGGUAAGUAUGAAGGAAUACUGUCAUCACUAGAGUAGGAACGAUAAGUAUGAAGGAACGCUGUCAUCACUAGAAUAGGAACGAUAAGUAUGAAGGAACGCUGUCAUCACUAGAGUAGGAACGGUAAGUAUGAAGGAAUACUGUCAUCACUAGGAUAGGAACGGUAAGUAUGAAGGAAUACUGUCAUCACUAGAGUAGGAACGGUAAGUAUGAAGGAAUACUGUCAUCACUAGGAUAGGAACGGUAAGUAUGAAGGAAUACUGUCAUCACUAGGAUAGGAACGGUAAGUAUGAAGGCUUUACAGAACGACCUACAGUAUAAUCACCACAACGUUAAAGCAUACUUGUAAUCCUCACAAAUGUCUGUCAAAUUAUCCAAGGUUAAGAGAAUGAUAGUGAAGACAUCAGAACUAUGAACUAAGGUGGUUAAGAGAAUGAUAGUGAAGACAUCAGAACUAUGAACUAAGGUGGUUAAGAGAAUGAUAGUGAAGACAUCAGAACUAUGAACUAAGGUGGUUAAGAGAAUGAUAGUGAAGACAUCAGAACUAUGAACUAAGGUGGUUAAGAGAAUGAUAGUGAAGACAUCAGAACUAUGAACUAAGGUGGUUAAGAGAAUGCCAAGAGUGUGCAAAGCUGUCAUCAAGGCAAACAGUGGCUAUUUGAAGAAUCUCAAAUAUGAAAUAUUUAUUAUCCAAGUACCGUCGAGCGCAUCAUUGUUAGUAACAUGAACAUGUACCUAUACUAGAGUUACUACGGUGUAAUUUAUGAAUGAAGUAAUAGUAGCAAUAGAACAUAGCUGUACGAGCCAUUUUGGACUGUUUAUGAGUUGUGGAAAUGGUCUUUGUCAAAGGUUAUUUUUUACUUGUUUUGUACACUAGAGGGCACUAUAUGUUGGGGUCAUGGGUCACUGUUCACGUGUGUGUGUGGGGGUAGCACAGGUGACUAGGAAGGGUCAGCACAGGUGACUAGGAAGGGUCAGCACAGGUGACUAGGAAGGGUCAGCACAGGUGACUAGGAAGGGUCAGCACAGGUGACUAGGAAGGGUCAGCACAGGUGACUAGGAAGGGUCAGCACAGGUGACUAGGAAGGGUCAGCACAGGUGACUAGGAAGGGUCAGCACAGGUGACUAGGAAGGGUCAGCACAGGUGACUAGGAAGGGUCAGCACAGGUGACUAGGAUGGGUCAGCACAGGUGACUAGGAAGGGUCAGCACAGGUGACUAGUAAGGGUCAGCACAGGUGACUAGGAAGGGUCAGCACAGGUGACUAGGAAGGGUCAGCACAGGUGACUAGGAAGGGUCAGCACAGGUGACUAGGAUGGGUCAGCACAGGUGACUAGGAUGGGUCAGCACAGGUGACUAGGAUGGGUCAGCACAGGUGACUAGGAUGGGUCAGCACAGGUGACUAGGAUGGUUCAGCACAGGUGACUAGGAUGGGUCAGCACAGGUGACUAGGAAGGGUCAGCACAGGUGACUAGGAUGGGUCAGCACAGGUGACUAGGAUGGGUCAGCACAGGUGACUAGGAUGGGUCAGCACAGGUGACUAGGAAGGGUCAGCACAGGUGACUAGGAAGGGUCAGCACUGGUGACUAGGAAGGGUCAGCACAGGUGACUAGGAUGGGUCAGCACAGGUGACUAGGAUGGGUCAGCACAGGUGACUAGGAAGGGUCAGCACAGGUGACUAGGAUGGGUCAGCACAGGUGACUAGGAAGGGUCAGCACAGGUGACUAGGAAGGGUCAGCACAGGUGACUAGGAUGGGUCAGCACAGGUGACUAGGAUGGGUCAGCACAGGUGACUAGGAUGGGUCAGCACAGGUGACUAGGAUGGGUCAGCACAGGUGACUAGGAUGGGUCAGCACAGGUGACUAGGAUGGGUCAGCACAGGUGACUAGGAUGGUUCAGCACAGGUGACUAGGAUGGGUCAGCACAGGUGACUAGGAUGGGUCAGCACAGGUGACU